rnacentral:tRNA from 1 species
UUAUUAAUUAAUUGGCAGAAAAAUGCAUUAGAAUUAGAAUCUAAUUAAGCUUUUA